CUCAUAUCAGUCUAUUUGAUUUGUAGGUCCACGAUGAUCAAGUUUGAUUCAGUCCUCAGCCCAUGCAAAUAUACGUUAGCUGAACUGGAAGAGGGCCACUGGAUGGUAAUGGAGCAGGACUGUUACACCCUCCAAUAUACAAGCCCGUUGCUCUCUGACAAUAACACAACAUUAUACAUUCCCAUCAACCAACAUGAAGAGGCAGGAACUAUGCAUCUUACUUCAUGCAGGACUUACCCUCAGGCUAAGUUGACAAAGGAUCCAGCUACAUUUCCUGAGUCUGCAACGGCAGAGCAUUCUAAGGAUGAACUAUAGUCAUGUGCAGCUCAUUGGCUUUAUACGGAUGUGAAGUUCUCACCACGGCAGGACUGAAGUCAGCAUUAACACAGCUACAAGGUGGAAAUGUUUAACAGAAAGCUGGAAAGGAGCUGCACUCAGAAAGAAGAGACCCAAGAGAGAAUGCGUGUGUGGAAAAACUGGAAUCCAGCUCAGUAUGAGGACUAGAUAGCAAUUGUUUUAUUUUUAAAUGGAUCAUAUGACCAAAAAUAUUUUUUACAAUAAAAGACACCCU